rnacentral:rRNA from 1 species
GAGUUUGAUCCUGGCUCAGGAUGAACGCUAGCUACAGGCUUAACACAUGCAAGUCGAGGGGCAGCAUGAAUAUUGGCUUGCCAAUAUUUGAUGGCGACCGGCGCACGGGUGAGUAACACGUAUCCAACCUUCCGGUUACUCGGGGAUAGGCUUUCGAAAGAAAGAUUAAUACCCGAUGUUGUGUAUCUUUCUCCUGAUUGAUACGCCAAAGGAUUCCGGUAACCGAUGGGGAUGCGUUCCAUUAGGCAGUUGGCGGGGUAACGGCCCACCAAACCUUCGAUGGAUAGGGGUUCUGAGAGGAAGGUCCCCCACAUUGGAACUGAGACACGGUCCAAACUCCUACGGGAGGCAGCAGUGAGGAAUAUUGGUCAAUGGACGGAAGUCUGAACCAGCCAAGUAGCGUGAAGGAUGACUGCCCUCUGGGUUGUAAACUUCUUUUAUACGGGAAUAACAUGAGGUACGGGUACCUUAUUGCAUGUACCGUAUGAAUAAGCAUCGGCUAACUCCGUGCCAGCAGCCGCGGUAAUACGGAGGAUGCGAGCGUUAUCCGGAUUUAUUGGGUUUAAAGGGAGCGUAGGUGGGAUAUUAAGUCAGCUGUGAAAGUUUGGGGCUCAACCUUAAAAUUGCAGUUGAUACUGGUUUUCUUGAGUACGGUAUAGGUGGGCGGAAUUCGUGGUGUAGCGGUGAAAUGCUUAGAUAUCACGAAGAACUCCUAUUGCGAAGGCAGCUCACUGGACCGGCACUGACACUGAUGCUCGAAAGUGCGGGUAUCAAACAGGAUUAGAUACCCUGGUAGUCCGCACAGUAAACGAUGAAUACUCGCUGUUUGCGAUACACGGUAAGCGGCCAAGCGAAAGCGUUAAGUAUUCCACCUGGGGAGUACGCCGGCAACGGUGAAACUCAAAGGAAUUGACGGGGGCCCGCACAAGCGGAGGAACAUGUGGUUUAAUUCGAUGAUACGCGAGGAACCUUACCCGGGCUUAAAUUGCGCUGGCUUUUACCGGAAACGGUAUUUUCUUCGGACCAGCGUGAAGGUGCUGCAUGGUUGUCGUCAGCUCGUGCCGUGAGGUGUCGGCUUAAGUGCCAUAACGAGCGCAACCCUUAUCUUUAGUUGCCAUCAGGUUUUGCUGGGGACUCUAAAGAGACUGCCGUCGUAAGAUGCGAGGAAGGUGGGGAUGACGUCAAAUCAGCACGGCCCUUACGUCCGGGGCUACACACGUGUUACAAUGGGGAGCACAGCAGGUUGCUACACGGCGACGUGAUGCCAAUCCGUAAAACUCCUCUCAGUUCGGAUCGAAGUCUGCAACCCGACUUCGUGAAGCUGGAUUCGCUAGUAAUCGCGCAUCAGCCACGGCGCGGUGAAUACGUUCCCGGGCCUUGUACACACCGCCCGUCAAGCCAUGAAAUCCGGGGGCUCCUGAAUUUCUUAACCGCAAGGAUCGUCCUAGGGUUUUUCCGGUGAUUGGGGCUAAGUCGUAACAAGGUAGCCGUACCGGAAGGUGC